UUCAACCAUUACACGUACCCCUGUGCUCAGAGAAAUUUCUGUCACAAAAUGGCGGAGACAAACGUUAAUAGACCCCAUUUUGUGGAGUAGAAAGUCUAUGGGUGCAGCUAACUUUACCCACUGGAUAUCAACGAUUCAGCUAAAUAAAUAGCAACAAUACUGACAUUAGCGGCUCGUCAACAUUGAGGCAUUCGAUUUCGGAUUCACUAGUUGACGGUGGCUGCUAGCUAGUUAGCCACAUUUAGCCAGCAGCUAACGUUAGCCACAUAGCUAGCCAGUUUUAGAUCCAGGACAGUUUAUGAAUGGGUUUGGAAUUAAGCAAAUAUUCCGUGUUUCCUUCCAUGAGCAGAAGGGUUUUAUUUGCUGACAUGGUGGCAACGUAGCUAGCUAUUAUUGGACAGGUCCUUGACAUUUCCUGGAUCUCAACUGGAAUACAUUUUAUUGCUGCUUGUAAACCCAUAACGUGAAAAAAUAGCUCCCCCUUGUGGAUAUUUUACUUGCAAGAGAUGCGUUGAAUAUUUUGUAAUAUGUUGUGUUUCAUGUUAAAAAAUAUGAGGCGUUCUAUGUCCUAUGUAAGAAACGUUACUAAUAAAGAGCAAACCAAUACAUUAUCAGGGAACAAAUAAUUAGCAAAAAUGUAUUGAUUUGUUUUAAACAUACCAGGGAAAUGUACAGUUACAAAGGCCAUCUGUCACAUGUGUAUUUGUCAUGGAAAACCUGUAAUAUAUGCAAAAAUGUAUAUAAUACACACUAUAUUUCAUCCCCCC